rnacentral:rRNA from 1 species
AGCGAACGCUGGCGGCAGGCUUAACACAUGCAAGUCGAGCGGGCACUUUCGGGUGUCAGCGGCGGACGGGUGAGUAACGCGUGGGAACGUGCCCUCUGGUUCGGAAUAACUCAGGGAAACUUGAGCUAAUACCGGAUACGCCCUUUUGGGGAAAGGCUUGCUGCCGGAGGAUCGGCCCGCGUCUGAUUAGCUAGUUGGUGAGGUAACGGCUCACCAAGGCGACGAUCAGUAGCUGGUCUGAGAGGAUGAUCAGCCACACUGGGACUGAGACACGGCCCAGACUCCUACGGGAGGCAGCAGUGGGGAAUAUUGGACAAUGUGCGCAAGCCUGAUCCAGCCAUGCCGCGUGAGUGAUCAAGGCCUUAGGGUUGUAAAGCUCUUUUAUCCGGGACGAUAAUGACGGUACCGGAGGAAUAAGCCCCGGCUAACUUCGUG